rnacentral:rRNA from 1 species
CACACUAUCAUUAACUGAAUCCAUAGGUUAAUGAGGCGAACCGGGGGAACUGAAACAUCUAAGUACCCCGAGGAAAAGAAAUCAACCGAGAUUCCCCCAGUAGCGGCGAGCGAACGGGGAGCAGCCCAGAGCCUGAAUCAGUGUGUGUGUUAGUGGAAGCGUCUGGAAAGGCGCGCGAUACAGGGUGACAGCCCCGUACACAAAAAUGCACAUGCUGUGAGCUCGAUGAGUAGGGCGGGACACGUGGUAUCCUGUCUGAAUAUGGGGGGACCAUCCUCCAAGGCUAAAUACUCCUGACUGACCGAUAGUGAACCAGUACCGUGAGGGAAAGGCGAAAAGAACCCCGGCGAGGGGAGUGAAAAAGAACCUGAAACCGUGUACGUACAAGCAGUGGGAGCCUCUUUAUGGGGUGACUGCGUACCUUUUGUAUAAUGGGUCAGCGACUUAUAUUCUGUAGCAAGGUUAACCGAAUAGGGGAGCCGAAGGGAAACCGAGUCUUAACUGGGCGUUAAGUUGCAGGGUAUAGACCCGAAACCCGGUGAUCUAGCCAUGGGCAGGUUGAAGGUUGGGUAACACUAACUGGAGGACCGAACCGACUAAUGUUGAAAAAUUAGCGGAUGACUUGUGGCUGGGGGUGAAAGGCCAAUCAAACCGGGAGAUAGCUGGUUCUCCCCGAAAGCUAUUUAGGUAGCGCCUCGUGAAUUCAUCUCCGGGGGUAGAGCACUGUUUCGGCAAGGGGGUCAUCCCGACUUACCAACCCGAUGCAAACUGCGAAUACCGGAGAAUGUUAUCACGGGAGACACACGGCGGGUGCUAACGUCCGUCGUGAAGAGGGAAACAACCCAGACCGCCAGCUAAGGUCCCAAAGUCAUGGUUAAGUGGGAAACGAUGUGGGAAGGCCCAGACAGCCAGGAUGUUGGCUUAGAAGCAGCCAUCAUUUAAAGAAAGCGUAAUAGCUCACUGGUCGAGUCGGCCUGCGCGGAAGAUGUAACGGGGCUAAACCAUGCACCGAAGCUGCGGCAGCGACGCUUAUGCGUUGUUGGGUAGGGGAGCGUUCUGUAAGCCUGUGAAGGUGU